UGGGCGGUGCCGCGGCCUCGGCCCGCGCGGACCCGCCUCACUGGACCCGCCCCCGACAGGACCCGCCCCACAGGCCCAAGGAGUGGGGCUGACCCCCCGCCCAGGGGACCCCUCGCCCCACGCUGGCGAGCGCGCGUCUCCCCGGGCUGCGUGGCCUCAGUGGCGCCCGGCGUGCGUCCACGCGCGGCCCGACCAAGACCGGCGCCGAACCCCAGUGUCCAGCCACCUGGUGGCAUCACACGCAGACGUCCACGCAGCUUGUGAUGAGCUCAGCGGAAACCAACUGUGAGGACAGGCCGCCCCGCGGCGGCGAGGAGCUCCAGAUGGGCUGCGUCCCCGGACGCCCGGGCACAGCUCUCGCCUCGGCCCUCCAGGCCCUGCAGCUCAGAGCACGGAGGGGACAGACAGCGUCGUUUCCAGGUGGGAAGAGCAUGAGCUUGGAGCCCUCCGGCUGCAUUUGUCAGAUCUGAAAAGCAUGAGUGCCCGUCAGUGCGGGACUUCAAUAACAUCCUGAUGGACCCACGAAAUGCACAUUCACAGCCAUUAACAGCAGACACACCUCGAAGGCAGUUGGGAGCCCUCGUGGUCUCUGACCUGCUCUGACCCUCGCCCGACCCGACCGCAGUCCAUCUGUAGAGACCAGGCGCCGCUCCAGCAGUUGAGAGGCCGGAAAGGUGUUUGGAGGCCCCCGGGGUCCCUGACCUUCUCUGGCCCUCACCUGCCCAGCUCCAUCUCUCCUGCCCCGUCCCUGGGUGCAUUUCCAUCGAGGAGGCACAUCUCCCAGCAGCAAGAGGUCAGAUGGGAGCCCCUCUGCAGCCGGCAGCCACCCUCUCCUUUGCUCAGCGCCCAAGGCCAGGAUCGCAGCUCACUGCGCAGCUCAGCACUUCGCCUGGGCCUCCUGGCCCCCUGCUUGCCCCUCAUCACCUCACUGUGACAGGAUUUCCCAGGCGGCUCGGAGGGGAGUCUGGAAGCGGAACGUCGCACAUGGAGAAGCCGGAGACCCUGCUGGCCCUGGAACGAGCAGAAAUAACAGCCAAACACAAGUAGGUGAGACCCCGGCAGACGGUGAACACGAAGAGCAGGUGCAGCCCAGGCAGGUAUCAGAGCCAAGGACAGGCAGGUGAGGCCCGGCGGGGAUCAGAGCAGGUAGAUCAGGUGAGGCCCAAGUGGGUAUCGUCACCAGUCGGAGCAGGUACAGCCCCGGUAAGGAUCGUAGUCACCAGCAGCAGGUGAGGCCCAGGUGGGGAAGCACAGGUGGGGAAGCACAGCCAGCAGAAGCAGAUAUGUCCCUGGUGGGAUCAGAGCCAAGGAGGGGCGGGUGAGGCCCAGGUGGGGCCCAUUGCCAGGUAUGCGCAGGUGCGGCCCAGUGGGAGCCACAGCAGCAGGAACAGUUAUGUUCCAGGCGGGGAUCCCGGCCAAGGCUGAGAAGGCGGAACCCAGGUGGGUAUCCUCACCCGGAGGGGCGGGUAUGGCCUGGGUGGCGGUCACAGCCAGUGGGACCAGGUGGCCCAGGCAGGAUCCUAGCCAGGUACGAGCAGCUCCCACUCGGGCAGGUGGGUCUCGUGCUGUGCUCCUGGGACGCAGGGCAGGGGAGGUGUCCUGCCCCUCCUUUGGCCACACCUCUGGCCUCUGUGGGUUUCAGGGCCAGGCAGGGGCUCCAGUGGAACCCGGGGAAGAUGCUGACCGCUCGCUGUACAAAGUUGCCGACAGGCUACGUUUUCUGCCAUGAGGCAUCAGGAUGCCCCUCCUUCCCAUCUCGGGGCAGGUUUCCUUUUGCAGAAAGACCUCUCUGGAGGCGGGACCCAUCGCCCCAGCUCAGGGCCUCGACCCCUGGUGGCCACGGCGGGUCAGGGUCUGCACUGGGCUGGAGCUGAGAGGACUCGGGGAGGCGGCGGGGGCAGGGCUGGGCGCUGGUCCAGGCCUGGGCCUCAGCCGCGUGGCCUCCAUGCCUGGCCCUGGCCUCUGCCUCCGAGGUCAGAGGGAGGCUCAGCCUGGUUAGCAGACUCUGCAGAGCGUGGCCACAGGGUGAGGCGCGCCUGGCCCACAGGUCUCCGAGGCUCUGGCCCAGAGGACAGUGAGAGGUGUGGCCUCAGGCGCUGGAGGGACGGGCAGGGGGAGCAGGCAGGACCGGCCUCAGAAGCUCACGGGAAGGAGACAGACGCAGGUGGAGUUUGCAGCUGAAGACGACCUGACCCCUCGGUCUGGGGCUGGGAGGAGACUCGGGGUAGAAGGCCGGGCCGGGCCACGGUGGGGGAGAGAGGAGAAGACGUGCAUGUACCUGGACGGAGCUGGUCUGCAGCAGGGCUAAGGGUGCUGGGCUCCUGGACGGAGGCGUCCACUCUGGAGCAGGGUGAGGCCCUGGGGAGCGACUCACCUGGACGGUGGCGUCCACUCUGGAGCAGGGUGAGGCCCUGGGGAGUGACUCACCUGGACGGAGGCAUCCACUCUGGAGCAGGUCAGGGGAGCUGCGUAGCCUCAGCACCCAGGGCCUCAGCAUCAGCGGCUGCAGCACCCACUCAGCGAGGCAAAAAGCCCAGGAGAUCGGGCGAGCUGACAAGUGGGUGAAGAUGCUGAGGGAUUGGAGUAAAUACCAGGGUGGCGAGAAGGUAGCAAGCUGAGCAUCCUGACCCUGAAGGGUGCUGGGCUGGGUGCCCCACAAGGCCCGGGGAGAGUCUGAUGCCAGGGCCGCAGCCAGCCCAGCCGGGGACCCCGCAGGAAGGGAGCAGCGGGGCCACGGCCCGCUCUUACUUGCGGCAGACCCAGCCCCUCCGGAGCAUCCUCCAGACGCCUCUCGCUCUCUCACCUCCUUGGCAUCCCCUGCACCUGUCUCACAGCUGGCUUCUCUCCCGGAGAUGCGCCGGCGGGUCUACAAAGGAAUCCCCCCACAGGUGCAAGGUCAGGUACGGUCUCUGCUGUUGGACAUGGAGAAGGUGAAGGUGGAGAACAAAGGGAAAUACCAGGGCUUCCCUGGUGGCGCAGUGGUUAAGAAUCCGCCUGCCAAUGCAGGGGGCAUGGGUUCAAGCCCUGGUCCGGGAAGAUCCCACAUGCUGUGGAGCAACUAAGCGCGUGCGCCACAGCCACUGAACCUGCACUCUAGAGCCGCGAGCCACAACUACUGAGCCUGCAUGCCACAACUACUAAAGCCCGUGCGCCUACAGCCCGUGCUCCACAAGAGAAGCCACUGCAACAAGGACCCGCGCACCACAACGAAGAGUAGACCCCGCUCGCCACAGCUAGAGAAAGCCUGCACGCAGCAACGAAGACCCAGUGCAGCCAAAAAUAAAUAAAUAAGUUUUUUUUUUUUUUUAAAGGGACGACCAGGUAUGGCCCCUCCACCUGUGCGGGGGCCGCACCAACAGGCCAGGACAUCAGGAGCUUGGGGGGCUGGGCCUCAGGGACCCCUUGCCCAUCCCCAGCACUUUCCUGGCACCUCCCAGGCUUGCAGGCCCCGAGGCCCACCUGCCUGGAAGGCCCCACCCACCCCCCUGCUGCCCAUCCCACUUGGCCUAGUGCAGACACUGUGUCCAGAUACGGACACAUGCCACCUGGAAUCAAACUAAGCCCUCCUAGACAGUUGGGGGGACAGAGUCACACAGCAAGGGAUAGAAACCAGGGGGAAAAGAGCAAGGAGACACCCACAGAAGCCAUGAAAGGAGAAAGCAAAGCCAAACCAGAUGAACGACAGGCCUGCAUUCAGCUGAACAGAAGGACUGAAUCCGGACAAGAAGCAGGUCUUUUCCCAUCGCCCCAGAGAGGUCCCUACACCUGGCCUGUUCCCACCGCCCAGCACCCCCUCUCCACCGAGGGCACCCCCAGGUCACAUUGCCCGGGGAGGGCGCUCUGUGUACCCAGACCAAGUAAGACCAGUAGGGGAAAUGUGACAGUAACCUACGAGGCUAAAAAUGUGGCGGACACCCACUAACUGUGGGACUACAGCCAGCGUCACGCUCAGUCCGGAAGCUCUCAGAGGGCCCCCGGAAACAGGGCAGAUACAUACAGAGAUCAAGAAUGUCCCUCCGUAUGAACGUAAAGAGUUCUGAAACGGGAACCGUGCAUGUCUGUUAGGCCUAAGGGGAGCCCCAAGGAUAUGUUUUUCGCCUUCUUAACCAGGGGUCUGAGAGGGGGGGUGUCAGGGCCGCGGGGCUCUGCAUUCCUCAUGGACUGUUUUAGCGUCUGGCUGUUGGGAGCCCGAGCCCCCAGCAGCCCUCCCGUCCCCGUCCCCGGGGACCCUGAGUCGGGCUGGUGCCAGAUUCACUCUUGGGAAACAAGGCAGUGAGCCGCCCUUACUGUCCUCGCCUUGCCCCGCCUCGCCCCGCCUCACCCCUCGUGUCCCCGCCUGUUGGCGGUGGGACUCCGGCGGGGGUCAAGGAACAGAGGCCCAACCGCCCUCUCCGCCUCCCCACGCACCUGGGAGCCGCCUCCCUGGGGCGCUGUCAUCCUGGGAGGCCGCAUGCAGCGGGCGGAGGAGGGGUCCAGCUGGCCUGGACGGUGCCUCCCUAAAGGGCGGGGGUCUGGACCUUGGACGUGGGCGUCACUCGUGACCCGCCCUGGCUUCAGAAAUGCGCACAGUGAGGCUUCUGCAGAAACAGCUCAGCUCCCGCCAGCCUCCUCGCAGCGUGCGCUCUGUCCGGCGGUGGUGGUCGUGGGUCCGGGCUCCGCCUGACGCCUGCCCCGCCCCUUGGCCCCGCCCACAGAGCCCGAAACCGCAGGCCCGGCUGUACUCCCAGGACCUAAAGCAGAUCGACCUGGGUGGGAACCGCGCCUUCCGAAACCGCAUCAUGUUCCGGGAGCGCUACGGCAUCAAGUGGGUCCCCGGGGCCCCGCGGGGGGAGGCGUGGGCCUGGGUCUGAAGCUGGGAUGGCGGGUGCCCGGCCCCCGGCCUGGCGGUGCCGCCUGAGCCUCGAGGGGGCGCGAGUGGGCACGUGAGGAACGAGGGCGGUGGUGUGGGGCACGGGGCGGGGGGCGCGCGGGGAGAGUGGGGACCGGUCUGGACUGGCUCAACAGGCCCCAGAGGGCCCCGCGGGAGGUGAGGGGCUCCAGGCACCAGAGACCAGGCUGGACCCGAGCCCAGGGGAACGAAUGGAACGAAUGCGGGUCGGCGGGGUCAAAAUGACGCCCCAUCUUGAUGUUUUUAGUUAUAUAUUUCUGCUCUUUUAGACAAUUUCCAUCAUUUAAUUUUUAAAAGUGUGACGAACCCCCAAAUUCCAUCACCCAGGUCCAACACUAGCGACACUGUCCUGUCCUGUGUCCUGCGUUCACCACACACUUGACCAGCACAGGUGUUUUACAGAGAACCCAAGAUGUCUGGCCUCACCCCGUCCCUAGGUUCUCAGUAUGCAUUUUAAAAGCAGGGAUUCUUGGGCUUCCCUGGUGGCGCAGUGGUUGAGAGUCCGCCUGCCGAUGCAGGGGACGCGGGUUCGUGCCCUGGUCCGGGAAGGUCCCACAUGCCCCGGAGCGGCUGGGCCCGUGAGCCAUGGCCGCUGAGCCUGCGCGUCCGGAGCCUGUGCUCCGCAACGGGAGAGGCCACAACAGUGAGAGGCCCGCGUACCGCAAAAAAAAAACACACAAAAAAAACUGGAUUCUUGGGAACUCCCUGGCGGUCCAAUGGUUAGGACUCGGCACCUUCACUGCCGAGCGCCAGGGUUUGAACCCUGGUUGGGGAACUAAGAUCACAAAGCUGAGUGGGAUUUUGCGGGGGGGUGGGGACGGGACGGGACACGAAGACACAGGGAUUCUUAUGCGUGCCCUUGACCCUGUUGCUACACCUGAAGCAUUUACUGUAAUCCCCUAAUAUCCAGCCCUAGUGGGAGCCCUAAUAUCGGGUCUCCCAACGCUUCACUCCUUUCUGAACAACCUGUUCCAAUCUUGGUAACUGGGUAUGGCGCAAAGACCCUGCCGGCCGGGGAGAACUUGUGGGUGGGCAGGAGAGCAGGUUCUGCCGUGACAGGUUCGGGGCGUACAUGAAUAGCCAACAGAUCAAGCUCGCUCUGGACCAAGAGAUGCUCUUCAGAGCCCUGACCCCGGAGAGAAGAGGGGUCUGGCCAAGACGGCGCCGGGAGCAUCAAGGCAGGCGUGGGCUGUGCUGCCCGAGUGGUCGCCCUGGACCUCCCACGCUCCUCUCAUGACAAGAUUCCUCUACCGAGGAGACUCCACGGGCCCGAAGCUGGGAAGCCCCAUGCCUGCCUCGGCCCAGAGCGUGGCUGUGUCUCUGCUGACCUCCAAGGCCGGGCCCAGGGCGAGUCAGCCGCCACUGGCCCUCAGAACCUCCAUCACCCCACAGCCCCCAGGCUGCAGGCCUCACGCAGACAGGAGCCCAGGGUGUGAGGAUAAGCCUGGUGGGCCCCACCAACCCACCACCCCUGCCCAUCUGCAGACCUGGGCACAGAAUCAGGGAGGUUUCCUAUAAUGCACCACAUCGUAAAUAUCUUAGGCUUCAGGCCCAGCCACUGCUGUCUGAGAACACAGCCUACUGGAUACACAAAUGAGGAAACACGGCUGUGUCCCAACUUCUGGUUCCAUCUUAAACCUCUGGCUUGUUUGCAGGGCAACUCACUUGUUGCAUUAGAAAACCAGAACGCCAGGAUGGGGUGAGGCCAUGGACACUGGGAAAGAGGCCGGUUAGGUGAGACAGAAGACACCUAUGAGAGAAAGAACUAUAUCUAAAUGUAAAACUUUCAUUCUGCAAAAGACACUGUUAAAAGAAUGAAAAAGCUACAGAGUGGGAGAAAAUAUUUGCCAAUCAUAUAUCUAAUUAAGGACUCAGGCAGAAUAAGAACCAAAGUGCUGGUAAGGAUGUGAAGCAACAGGAACUCUCACCCAGCACUGGUGGGGAUGCAAAUGGUGUAGCCACUGUGGGGGACAGUUGGGUGGUUUCUUACAAAACUACACAUAUUGGGCUUCCCUGGUGGCGCAGUGGUUAAGAAUCCACCUGCCAAUGCAGCGGACACGGGUUCCAUCCCUGGCCCAGGAAGAUCCCACAUGCCGCGGAGCAACUAAGCCUGUGCACCACAACUACUGAUCCUGCACUCUAGAGCCCACGAGCCACAACUACUGAAGCCCGUGUGCUCUAGGGCCCACGUGCUGCAGCAAUGAAGACCCAAUGCAGUCAAAAAAACCCCACUACAUAUACUCUCACCAUGUGAUCAGCAAUGAUGCUCCUUGGUAUUUACCCAAAUGAGCUGAAAACUUAAACCCACAUAAAACCUGCAUGCAAUAUUCACUGCUCUGUUCGUGAUCGUUAAAAACUGGAAGCAACCAAGAUCAUCUUCAUCGAGGGAAUGGAUAAACUGGGGGAUUCCAUGAAAUGGACUUUAAUUCAGGAACACAAAGGAAGAAGCUAUUGAUUCACUCAACAGCAUGGAUGAGUCUUAGACAUAUUUUGCCAAGUGAAGGAAUCCAGACCCACAUGUGAUUCCACUCACAGGGCGUUCUGGAAAAAGCACAGCCCCGGGAGGGGGAGGGUCAGCGGCCGCCAGGGCUAACGGGGUGGGAUCUUAGGCCGGAGCAUGGAUGCGGCGGCCUCGCCCGUGUGUGAAAACCCAAGGGGCUGUACAUCCCCGAGACUGAACUGUGAUGUGUGCCAACAGAAAAAAUAAAGAAAAUAAAAACUUGUC